GGAGAAAUGGAUAACUGGUUAAGAGCAUCUCCAUCAGCAGGUCCAGUGGGCAGUGGGUGAACUGGUGAACCAGUGACAGGAUCAUGAGCAUCCAAGGCUCCCUGAUGCUUCCCACAGAAGAUCUACUGUAGCACAAACUGCUGAAAAACCUCAAUGUUGCUAUGAAGCGUGGAGCUCUGAGCAGACAGCUUCACCUCUUCUCCACUGUCAAAGAGGGAGAUGAAGCCAUUUUAUCUUGUGAGAAUCUGAUGGAUGAUCAUAACUGUGACAGAACCACCUGGCUUUUUGAUCAUUCAAAAAUAUCAUACUCAGUAGAGCUGGUUACUCUUGGACAAGUUAAGAAUGAGAUCAAAAUAGACAGACUGAGUGU
ensembl:lncRNA